UUCUGUCUCACUGCUUUUCAAUUUCUUUUUUGUUUCUUUUUUCCUGAUUAUUGUUUCAUUUCUUCCUAAUUCUUGUUUGUCUUUGCUACUCGCUAGGGUUUCUCUUUGUUCCUCAUUCUGGUGACCUUGGGCUUGGCUGAUGGAAGCAACCGGUGGACAAAUACUACCAUUCCUCACGUUGUUGACCUUGUACUGAUGGAGAAUCACAGCUUCAGUACAAUGCACGUGAGAGUGAUUGGGGUUUCAUUAAUUUCAUGUCUCCACUUCCUGACUUAUAUGAUCAUGCAAGAAGUUUUCUGGUGAAUGAUAGACGUAUAAUUGAAGCUGAUGUUGUACAUAAGCCUCUUGUUACAUGAAUUCUCUACUUUAGACACCGUAUAACAUUCCUUAUUUUAGUAAGGUUGUAUACCAUAUGCCUACGAAUGAGAAUGACAUGCCAUCAAGGAGCAUUCCUUUGGCAUUGUAGAGUUUAUUCUACAAGCUGCAACAUAGUGACACUAAUAUAUAUAUCUACUAAAGAGUUAACUAAGUCUUUUAGAUGGAAUAAGGAUGAUUCGUUCUUGUAGCAUGAUGUCGAAGAACGUAAUAGAUUUUUUUGUGAAAAGUUAGAAUAUAAAAUGAAGGUGCAUUGUUUUUUUA